UUUGAUUUCUAAAAUGCUUCAAGGAUUGAUGGUUAGUCACAACAAUGAAUUCCUAAGGCAACAAAUAGACUUCCCAAGUCUUUAAAGCCGCGAAAACAGCAUACAAUUCUUACUGAUAGGUACUCCAAUUUUGUCUUGCCUCACUUAACUUGUCACUAAAGAAACCAAUGGGUUUUCGUUCUUGAGAUAGAACUGCCCCAAUGCCUACUCCACUUGCAUCGUACUCUAACUCAAAAGUCUUAGUAAAAUCAGGUGGUGCCAAGACUGGAGCUUGUGACAACUUUGCCUUUAUGUCUUUAAAACUAGCUUCAGCAAAUUCAUUCCACCGAAACUUUCCUUUCUUUAGGCAUUCAGUAAUCGGUGCCAUGAAAUUUUGGCCAUUCUCUGAUUGCUUCAACUUUGGAGUCAUCAACAUGAAUGCCCUCACUUGUUAUGACAAACCCCAAGAAAAGAAGUCAUGUUUGAAUCUCAACUGACGGUUGCUCUUCGCCUCUAACAAUAAGUGCAGCACACAUGUUUGCCUCCUUCAAGUCUUCCCUAAACUCAUAAAAGGUGUUGGAAAUGGUUAACAUAUUUUUUCUCUCCUCCUUAGAGGUAUUACCAUUUGAUUGGUUUGGUAGGAUGAUGAUCUUUCUCUUGUUCUAAGUGAAAGAGUAAGAAUUUUCCUUCCAUUUGUGUGUAGUAUCGACAUCAAACUGCCAAGGUCUCCUAAGAAGAACAUGCUGGCAUCCAUAUCGACAACAUCACAUAACACAUUUGAGCGGUAGUACUUUCCCAAAAAGAGUGGCAGGUUGCAUUGUUUGGUGACCCUCGUAUUCACCCCUUUCUUGAUCCAUCCAAUAGUGUAGGAAUCAUGUCUCUCAAGCUUAAAAUGGUUCACCAAAUUCUGCGAGAUAAGAUUCUCACAACUGCAAGUAUCAAUCACUAAUUUGCAUACCUUGCCAUUCACCAUGCAUUUGCCCUCAAAUAUUUUCUUCCUUUGUGUGUUGUCGGCCUGUGGCGUUGAGCACAAGAGAUGCUGAAUCACACAUACCACCCAUUCACCCUCUUCUGCACAAACAUCUUGGCCUUCAACAUCUUCAGAUUCAUAUUCUUCGUCAUCCUCGCCAUCAUGGAUUGUUGUGUUGACAAAUUUCCUCUAUGGGCAAUUGCUAGAUACAUGUCCCUCUUCCCAACAUUUAUAGCAUUUUACCACAGGCUUUGCCCUACUCUUGCCUCUAGCUUGCUUCGGGGCAGGUUGCUUUGUCUUUGGUUGGGUGGUCUUCUCUUGCACUUUAUGGGGGAGACUCCUAGACGGGCCUUCCGUAUGUGAAUAUGGAGCCUUACUUGCCUUUCUUGUCUUCACCAACCUCUCGGCCUUUAAGGCUAGAGCUUGUGCUUGGUCAAUGGACCAAACCUGUUCCAUCAUCAAACGAUCCUAAGUAGUGUCAUUGAGACCGUUGAUUUAUCUUGCAAUUUGUUGAUUUUAGUUUCAACAAGGUUGCACCUCACUUGUAGCUUUAGAAACUCUUGAGUAUAUUCUGAAACAGCCAUAUUUCCUUUAACACAAUUCUGGAACUGAAUAAAUAGGAUCUGAUCAUAAUCAGCAGGCAAAAAUCUUCCUUUCAAAAGAUUCUUCAUUGUCUCCAAGAUCUCACACAAGGUUCUCCUCUUAGUCUGCGGUCGUCUUGAAGGCGAUGCCACCAUGCACCAGCUCCUCCUUUUAGCUUGUAUGUGACCAAAGAAACUCUACGGUCUUCUGGAAUAUUCAUGACAUCAAAAAAAGUCUCCACCUCGUACAACCAAUCAAGGCACUCUUCAAUAUCAACAUUUUCAUUGAAAGUGGGGAUUUUAGCUUUCACCUUGUAUGUAUCUCUCGCAUUUGUAGCAUUGGUUACUCUCGGAUACGCAUAGAGGUCAGGUUCUUCAAGACCCUCAUCAGAUUCUUCACCUUCAGAAGUUUCAGCAUAUGUUGGCCUCCUUGAAGUACGCUGAUGUGCAUGUCGUUGUGGUACUUGAGUUCGAAGAUGAGCUUCCUUCCUUCGCCGCCGAACAUCUCCUUCCUCCUUAGAUGUAUCUUCUUCAUGGGUAGCAGGAGGAACACCUUUCCUUAUUAUCUCAACCAACUGAUCGAAUCUCUAGUUAAGAUCCUCACUAGCGCUUGGAUUUGUUGUUCUGCAGCAUCCGCUCUCUUUCCCAAAUCCUCCAUUGCUUGCUGUAGCUCCCUCUCAAUGAGGAAACCAGCAACUAGAACAGAUCAGCAGGGCUCUGAUACCACCUGAUGCAGCACAAGGUUUUGGAGGAACAACUCCACCUUGCUGCUACAAUAUAGACAGCACAAAUGUUAAAGGAACCACUUCAACAUGCUGUGCUAGAUAUCGCUCUAGGGGCGAGGAACUGCCAAGAGUUUAAUCCAAACUCUUAACACACAACAUCUAAGACAAAGAACAUAAAUUGCUCGUUAUUGAUAGAUAGUGGUCCCUAGUCCCCCAAGAUAGAGGUGUGGACCUCUAUUUAUCAUGAGCCUGCACUAAUUAGCUCUACUUAUAACUAGAACCUUCUAGGUAACACUACUCAAAGUUAGGAAAAUAUCCUAGUUAAAACUUAUAGUAGAACACUCUAGAAACUACCACACACCUAUGAUUAAAAGAUAAGUUAUUUAGAAUAUAGUAGAAGUGUGUAGAAGCAUUGAGAGAUCUGACUUCUACUUUUAUUUUAUUUUGGUUUUUUCUAUUGUCCCUCAUCAAUAUACCGUUGGGCCACUUAUGGUGGGCUUUUAUUUGCACUUGGAUUUAAAAAAUAUUAUUUUAUAUCUUAAAAUAUUGGACAGCAAACCACGUGGUCACCAACGAUCCUCAUCCUGGCACACGGGAUUUGCCCGAACGACUGCAAGGACAGAAACACAUGGGCACCAACACCAAGAUCAGUCGCUAGAAUAGAACAGCAUGGAACUCACGGAAAAUGAGUCGGGGACUUUGAGUAUUAAUCGGCCGGGAUCACGUACGUUUCGGACGAGAUGCUCGGGGCUCUUGUGAAUUCGGGAAUUGCUUGUCGGUAUUUUGGGCUUAUAGCUGAGUGGCUGACUUCGACUUUUGGAGAUCUAAUAGAUAGUCGGCUAUAUGUGAAAAGGUCGACCGUUCACUGUAAACCUAUCAGCUAUUUAUAAUCCCUGUCAGAAAAAAUAGAUUUGUAGUAGUGAUAGUUUUUAAGUUAAUUUUGACUAGAAAAAUGAAAUAGAGUUUGUACCGAAAAAGUUGGCUCUUUUCCAAGACUAAAGUUUUUAUCAUGACCAAAUUUUUGUAGGGUUUGGUAUGAUGCAUUGUUGCCAAAAUAUACUAUGCCAACUUUUUGAUCAAGACCACAAAUUUAGCCUUUAUUUAGAUGAUUGCCAACAAUUUGGUAUGGGAAUGCCUCUUAGCCAGAGCUAGUUCAAAUUGUUGACCAAAGUUGGAAACUUAUGGUCAAGAGAAUUUGUGGGUUGUUUUUUGUCUAAACAGAUUUUUGGAAAGGAAAACUUGGGCUCAACAAACACAACCUUAAAACCUGGAUCCAACAUUGUCAAAUGCAGCCACCAAAUAUCGUUUCCUAGUGCAAAAAAGAAGCUAGUUUCCACAAAGCUAAUAUGCUAUAUGAAGGUGAGCCCCCAUGUCUUAAUCACUUGCUUUUUGGAUGCCCGAGACCUCUGAAGGUCUGGCACUUUCUGGGAUUAGACGACGUUAUAGAACAUGCUGUGCAAGUUGAUCAAGCAGGAAAAGUCGUCUUGGAAUUUGUGAGAUCAAGAUAGGCAAUCAGAGGGGGGGGGGUGAAUGAUUGCGCGGAAGCAAAUUAAAACUUUUUCCGAAAGUUCAAACCCUAAAUCACCUUUCUCACCGUGAUAAUAAAAUAGCCGUAACUUUUGAUUGGAUGAACCAAAAAAUAUGUAUGAGUAUCCAAAAGAAAGGUAUUGAAAUUAUCUAAUCAGCACAACAAGAAUAAACUCAAUUGGACUUACCAAUCAAAAGAUAUGAUCAAAUCAGUAACAGCUGAUAGAAAGUUACGAGAAUUAAUCUAUAAUCGAUUUCGAGGAAUAACAAGAAAGAUGAAAUAAUCGCGAUCUUCCUUGAUCUCGUGGUAAACCUGCAGAAAAGUAUUAUGAACUCGUGAUAAACCUGCAGCAAAGUGUUAGAAAGAUCUAACACGAAGAAUCCACGAAGAUCCGAGAAGAACAGAGAUGACACCGCCAACAAAUCUCUUUAUUGCGACGAUGUCGAUCGAUUAGAAAAGAUGCAACCAUGCAUCCAAAAACUCUCUAAGAAUUAAUCUAGAUUCAAAGCUCUGAGUGCCCUCACGUUCUUGCUAAAAGCCUAACUAGGACGCCCGCUAUUUAUAAGGGAAAAUUCGUGACCCUAAACCGAAUCCGAAUCCAACACGAACUCCUCUGUCCCGGUCGGUAUUUUGCCCGUGGGGCCCGCAUACGACCUCGGAUUGAGAUGACUUCAAAAUCAAAGUUGUUCGUCUCGACGACGCGCACAAGUUUCAUGUGGACCACUUUUCCAUCUGAUGCCAUCUUUAUGACGCUACUGUUUAAUCUUUAAACAACUCUCAUCCAGCCACGGCUGGACCUACAUAUCUUCACGUCGAUGCCACUCCAUGCCAUCAACUCUUCUUGUGAUGUCUUUAAAACUCGACCAUCACGUAUCGAAUAUCUCCAAUACCGUACAUAUCCGGUAUAAACAACGUACAACAAACCGGUGCCCUUCCGGAUCAUCAUAGCCUUCACUUCCAUUGUUCUUUCGCAUGAACGUCCUGCAUGACCUUGAUCCUCGACCUCAGCUUCUCCCAAGCUUCGUCCCUCGAUCCCGUCAUCGACCACGUUCCUCUAGCUCCGGCAACACCUGAAAGCGAACACACAAAUAACCAGUACGAGCACAAGUCCACGACUUGACUUAGGGUAAGUUCCACACAACUCACGCCAUGUUUUCACAUAAGAAACUAAUGGAUCAACACACCAGUAGCAAAGCACUAAGUCCAAACAAGAUACAUCUCAUCACAUAAGUAUCCAUAUUACCCAAAGUAUCCACAUCAAUGUUUCAUCUAAAACACUUGCCAAUGUUACACAUCACCUAUGAUUUCACAGAAUUUCUCAUUGAAUCACAUUAAUGUGAUGAAAGAAAAGCCCCUUUGAUUGGGACUACCGCUUGGUCUUUGGUGGGAGAGAAGGAAAGCAGUGCGGGGAGAACCAGUGCAAAUCCCUAGCCAAUCCGCCAUUGCAAUCCAGGUGGCAACGGAAAAUUUCGUAAGAGACAGAGGCAAGAAGGCAAGCAUCCGGCGACAUGGCUGGGAAAAGCCUCCUAGAGACAUCGUUAAACUUAAUGUGGAUGCUGCUUUUGAUCCCAAUUCUCUGGAUGGUACGAUUGGUUCAGCCCUUCGUGAUCAUGAUGGGUUGUUUAUUGCCGCUGCGAAUCAGAGGAUUGAACGAUGUCCUAACGUCUCGAUACGUUGCGGAAGCUAUGUCACUGUAUUCUUUAUAACUCGGGUACCACGGAGGUGAUCAAAGUGAUGAUCAAGGGGGACAAUCGGCAGUAUUGGAGCUGCAAUGUAUGAUGACUUCUUCUUUAUUAUCAAAUUACUAUGUCAAGAUUUCUUUUGCUCAUUGUCCUCAGGAAUCCAAUGACGGUACGCAUGAAUUAGCGAGAUUAACUAAAUUCUCUCCUCCUGGAGUGUGGCUCCUUGAUCCACCUUCUAGUAUAGCAGAUCAACUUUUGAAUGAUGUAAUUAUUAUUGCCAAUGAACAAAGAGGUGUUUUACCGGUAAAAAAAGCUUAUAUGCUAUAGUGGGCAAGUAUGAGUAUUCAUAUAUUAAAUGCAUGAGUGUGUUUUCACCCUUGCAUUUAAUGCUAACAAAUCACGUCGAUCAGAAGUUUUCGAGAGCUGGCUAUUUUAGCGCCGGCUUCUCCGGUAGUUAAGAAAAGCUAUAGCGCAGCUACAUGCACCGGCACUAAGUCAUUUAGUGGUUUAGUUAAAAUCAUAAAAUUAAAAAAAUAUCACCCAGUCUGGCAUAAUAUAUCAUGUACAGUGACACCAUUGCAAAUGCCAAUCGGUAGUAGCUAUCUUUUUAAAAAGAGAAGAUAAACAUGAAAUGGAAGCUAGGAUUCUCAACGUGAUUUUGGAAUGAUAAAAGAGGGAAUGAGUUUGGAGGAAGAUGUACUUGACGAUUGCCUUGUUCUCAAAAAGGCUGUGUCGAUCUCAUUUCAACAGUGUCCUCGUGAAGCUAAUUAAGUAGCUCAUGAUUUUGUUUUACCACAAGUAGCUCAUGAAUUAGCGCAUAAUGCCAGCCAGCCAUGACAGUGGAAAUAAACGGUGGAGAGAAUAAAGUAGGUUGUUUGGUUGACUUGUUGAUUUUUUUGAAGAACGUAGAGUUGUUACCUAGACGAGAUUAGAGGACUGAAAAACGAUCAAACGGCUGCAUGCUAAUCGAAGCCGCGCAUACAACAAUCAACGCUAGAUAUCAUUUCCGGAUAUACAUGUUUCUAGAUAGUACAUACGGACUAGUACAAGGCCAAGCCCCAGCCUGUAAGUCUUCCACACAACACGUGUGAAUUGUGAUCUAGUUUCUUGCCUCGCUCGACAUGGCUCCGCCGGAGAUGUGCCGAGGUAGCGCAAUGACUGAGUAUGAGACGACGUCUUUCUUGAUGGGCCGGAAGAGGUCGGAGGCAUCAUUGCGAAGGCCGCCACGAAGGAAGACGGUACACCAUGCAGUGGCGCAACUGCAGAAGGUGUUCCUGGUCACGAACCGGUUCCCGCUCUUCUCCAUUGUGCCAAUUGUCGUUACUGCUGAGUACAUCCACCUCAGUCGGUUACGUAUGUGAUUGAUUUGUGCCGUACAAUAUCAAUUUAGGGUGGUGUUUUCUAAGACUUAAAUAAAAUAUAGCAACAUAUUGUUGCUAGGGCAUAUCGAUCUCCUCAAUCUUGAUGAGGGCAUAUGCACUAGAUCUAUUUUUUAUUUAUCAAUGUUAAAAAAUAUAGAAUAGAUCGAUCGGCAAUAGUUUGGUCAUUCGUGUAAUACAUUAGCUAGCGAGUAAACAACAACAUACACGUUGGCAUGGGAGAAUUCUUUGAUUUGAUCAACAAGACAUGCAGUCUAUAGAAAUUGAUGCACUUUGUGCGAACCAUAUAUGUCCAGAGCAACCUUUAAGAAUCGACUAGAGUGGCAUCUUUGAUUGCAUUUUUAAGUUAUCCAUGACUGUUCGUUGAAUUUCUUUGAAACUAGCAAUGUUUUAGUUUUUUUAAUUAUUUUGUGUACGAUGUGUCGAAUGGAGUAUGAAAACUUGCCUCCUGUGCCAGUUUAUCAAGCUCAGAAAACACAUCCAAUGGUCAUAUCCCCGUAAUAGAUUUCAUUGUAACAACUUUCAUUUUUUUUCAUGCUUGUGUAAUUUUAUACCUUUGUGGUUGUGAUACUGUGUUUUUUGGUGUGGCGGUACACCUCAUUCGGUGAAACACCCCGAUUUGUAGUUGUAUAAAACCAUUGGAUGCAUGCAAGUGUCAUCAUUCUAAACCUCCUACUACAAUAUUCUCUAAAUACUCUACAUAAAUAUCCUAGUAUAGAUAUUUCUUAUCACUCCAUGAAGAUAUUCUUCUAUUGUCUUUCAUAGUAAAUAUCAUCUUGAUCAUGCCGCCGUGGUCUUGUUCUCUGCCUUUAUCGCCAUCGAGGUCACCCAUCCACCCAAAAAGCGGCGUCACUUGUUAGGGUUCGGGAGGUAGCAUAGAAGACAUAGGGACUAAGAACGAGUGACGAAAAGCAGAAAAGCGAUGCCCAAGUUUACCAUUCUAAUGGGUACCGACAAGUUGCCCCAGGCCUGCGUUGUGUUGGUCAAACGACUCACAUCACCCGGUAAGCUGUGGAGAUACACACUGAGGACCGGUGGUAAAGAACUUAAAAAAGAAUUAUUAACCAAACAUGGGUUUUCAAAAUUCAGGGACUAAGAAUUGACACCUUUGAAAUUGAAUUAGGAUAUCCAGUAUAUUUUAGUCUUUUUAUACUCAACUGGAGAAAACGUUGCACCAUGUUACUUUCGUGUGGUCAAGGUCAAGGUCCUGGUCCUUUGGUGGAAAUGUUCGGUUGCUUUUAUAAUAUACGUAACACAACUAUUUGUUUGGUUGUACUUGACCUGCUGGUUAGUACCUCAUGGCCACUAGUUGAGGUUGUGAGUUCGACCCUUGGGUGUCUACUUCUUUGUUGGGUCCCUUUUUCUUCAUUUGAAUCUUUUUCCUUUUCUUUAUUUACACGGGAUAUUUAUUUAUUUUUGUCUCUUUUGAUUUUUCUUAUUUUUUCUUACUUGCAGUUCAAAUUUGAAGAAUUGGAUUUAUUUCUUGGUUGACUCUUUAGCCGUUCGAUGUGACACAAAGAUUUAUUGCACCGGACGGCUAAAAUUACACGUGAAAUUUUAUGUGAAAAUUUGGAUUUUGAAAUGGGCAAUUGGAUAUUUCACCUUCGGACGGCUAAAAUUGCACAUGUUUUUCUGUGUGCAAAUUUGGAUUUUGAAAUACACAAUUGGAUAUUGAACCUUUGGACGACUAAAAUUGCACGUGAAAUUUCGUGAGAAAAUUUGGAUUUUGAAAUGUACAAUUCGAUAUUGCACCAUUGGACGGCUAAAGUUGCACGUGAAACUUUGUGUGCAAAUUUGGAUUUUGAAAUGUGUAAUUGGAUAUUGCACCUUCAGACGGCUAAAAUUGCACAUUUUUUGUGUGCAAAUUUGGAUUUUGAACGUGCAAUUGGAUAUUGCACCUUUAGACGGCUGAAAUUUCUGUGCAAUUUUUAGAAUCGCGUGCAGAAUUUCACGUGCAAAUUUUAGAAUCGCGCACAAAAUUUUACGUGCAAUUAGAAACACGUAUAAAAUUUCAUGUGCAAUUUUCAGAAUCACGCAUAAUUGUUAAAAAAUCGUGCAUAAAUUUUCACGUGCAAUUUUUAAAUUUUAGUAAUCUAAAACAUGUUGUCACAAUGAAUUCAACAAGAAAACCACAAAAAAAACUAGGUUCCUUGCAUGUACGAAUCGGAAAAUGUGGCGUUGUUAAGCCGGCAGGCUUAGGCGCAGUCCCGAAAUAAUUUCCGUUUACCCUUUACCAGCAAAUACUACUCCUUUGGUGUUGUAGUAUAUAGAUUCUAGCCCUUAGUGUUGGAUGUGAUCCAAAUUCCAGGGGGCCGAAGUUCCGGCCCAACUUCCGGUCGAACCUCCGGUUGCUCUCUGUUACUUUUCGGGAAAAUGCGGAACUUGCUGCGGAACUUCCGAAUAUUCAAGAAUUACCGGAACUUCCGGCCUCCAACCGGAACUUCUGGUGUGCCCGUUACGGAUCUGUUUUGCCCUAAUGCUCCUGCUAUAUAUACCCCUUGUAAGCCGCCGUUUUGGGUAAGGUUCUCACGAGUUGCAUCUGUAGAACCUUCCUGGCGUUCUAAACACUCCCCAUAUAGUGAGAUUUCGUUGACUGGCACCCGUGGUUUUUCCCUCACGUUGUUUGAGAGGAUUUUCCACGUUAAAUCUGUGUGUCCUUGUGCUGUGAUUUCUUCUUAGUUAUUCGUUCUUGCUUGUCCGGUUCAUAAGACUUAGAUUUGUUCAAGAGCUUAAUGGAUGGCUUGUCAUUUGUCCCUACCAGUCCAAUCUGUUUUAGAGAACAAAAUGCCAACUUGGAAACCCGGUGCAAAAAUGCUGGUCAGUUCGAAGAAAGAGAUAAUUUCAUAUUUGCCAUUGAAAAUUUGCUCAUAUGCCCAAAUGCCACUCAAAAUUUGCCAUUUUCAAAUAUGCCACUCAAAUUUUGCAUGGGGUACAAAUAUGCCACUACCGUUAGUUGACCGCUAGUUGACCGUUAAGAAAGAGAUGAAAAGACAAUUUUGUCCUAGGUAGUAUGUUGAUUUUCCCUCUACAACAAAGCACUCGUUUAGAGAACUUAUAAUUUCAGGUUUUUAAGAUGCAGUAACACAACAUUUAGGAGUAAGUUUUAGCAAUAAUGAUUUUGGCAUGAAAACUGAAAAUUUGAGCAGCACUUCCAUUGAUUUUACCUAACAUCACAAAAUUCAUAAUAGCUUCAGAAGAAUAAUAUACUAAAACUCAUCAUACUUUUAGCAUACGUGCUCGCAAGCAUUCCAACAACGUAAUGUUCAAAAGAUAAUAGUCCGGUGACUAGGAGCAUUUAGGUCAAUAUGAAAAACUGACAAUUGACUUAACGGUCAACUAACGGCAGUGACAUAUUCGUACCCCAUAUAAAAUUUAAAUGGCAUAUUUGAAAUAGUCAAAUUUUAAGUGACUUUUGGGCAUAUGGAUAAAUUUUCAGUGGCAAAUAUGGAAUUCUCUCUCGAAGAAACGUACAGAACACACGCGUAUACUCACGAUCGGACUGUGCAAUCGACUGAGACAUGGACGUUCGCAGAUGGCGUUCAGACUUCAGUAACUUAAUUAUUUUCAGAGUUCCGAACAACGAUACAUACAAGCAAGCAAACCACCGAAUUACACGAUCGUGCAAUCCUUGUGAUACACAAGUUCAUCACCUUAUUCGUAGCAAGUGGCAAGCAAACGAAAGCACAACACAACACUCAACACACACGAGUGGACACGACCCGCUCAAUGCAAAAGCUCGAUCUCCUCCGGAACAAUCAUGCCUUCGGUGGAACCAUGCUGGCGCCGAGCUUCUGCACGGACGGCCUCGCCAUGAUCCUCUCCCACCACGCCUUGACGUGCGGGUACGAGUCAAACAGGGCGGCGUGCGGCGUCCCCAUGAAGUAGAAGGUGUAGGGGAAAUGGUUGAGGUCCGCGAAGCUGAUGAAGUCCCCCGCCAGGUACUUGUGCUUGGAGAGGUGCGCCUCGUAGACCUCGAGCACCUUCUUCAGCUUCUCCAGGCUCUCGUCCACGACCUUCUGGUUGGUCGGGAUGCCGCGCAUCAUCGGGUUGAUGAGGCACUCGUACACGAUGGGCGACAGGGCUGGGUUGUAGGUGUGUGCGUCGACUUCGGUCCAGACGUCCACCAUCGCCGCUUCUUUCAGGUUGCCCUCGCGAAGCAGGUCGACUUUGUCCGUCUUGUAUUUGCGGAGCACGUACUUCGAAAUUGCGCGUGACUCUGUAAACACAACAAUGGACAGAGAUCUGAGAGGAUAUUCGAGACACCGAGCAAAUGAGGAGUAUGAUCCAAUUGUUCGUUAUAAUGUGAGAUCCAUCUGCUCUAGCCUCCCAACCAAACUGCCCAUCAGGGGAGCACAUUGAUUACUUUGUGGAAAAAAGUAAUCGAGGGGAAGAAACAGAGCUAGCCUCUCAGUGGAGUUUUUUCUUUUUUUUGAAGAAAGUGGAGUAAAUUUUGAGAACCAGAAAGCAUAUGCAAAUUAAUCAUACCGAAGAGAAGCAGAUCCCCAUCCUGGAAUGCAGGGAUUUGGCCGAACGGCUGCAAAGGAAAGUAUCAAAGAAAGAUGGGCACCAAGAUCAGUUGCUAGAAUAAAUAGAAUAGCCCAGGAACUCAUCAAGGAAACUGAAUCAGAGAAUUUGAGUAGUAGUCAAUCGGGGCAUCACGUACGUUUCUGACGAGAUGCUCGGGGCUCUUGUGCUCCUGUGCCUGGAAGUCGAUGUUGACGACCUCGUACUCAGCGCCUACCUCCUCCAGGCACACCAGAACGCGAGCCACGUUGGUGGACAUCGCCGGCCCGAACACCUUCACCGGCGCCAUUUUUCUGCAGGCGAGAGAGACAGACAGACCAGGGAGUGUGUGUAUGAAUAGCUAGCUGCGUACGAGCGGUGUGGAGCUUAAUGGCACCAAACGCCGUCCCAUUUUAUACGGCAUCGGGUGAUGGGAGACGGGGAGGUGUGGACGUGACGACUGACGUGUGGUGGUCUCUGGAACAACCAAGAUGGACCCGUAUGGGGCGAGGUUGUGCUGUCAUUGAGUGCGUGUCGUAUGCGUGGCGUCACCCGUGAGGUAAGUGUUUUGCUUACAUCCGGAUCUGAGAAUUCAGCCUUUCCCUUUGAUCUGAAUACACUUUUGAGGCUCAAAAAGGAAAGGAAGGAAAAAAAAAAGACUUUGCCUUGUCGGUGUUACAGGCAAAGGGUUUUACUUGAUUUUUAAAGUAAAAUGACUAAAUCUCAUCUGAACGGUUGGAUUAUUAUUUGAACUUCAUCCUACUAUCUUUUUUUUCGUUCUUACGAAUCUUAAAGCACAAACCAUAUCUAAUGGCUAAAAAUUAACUUAUCUUUAAUUAAAAAUCAGGCAACUUAGAUAUAGCAAAACCGUUUAACUAAAUUUCAAUCAAUUGAAUUUGAGCGUAUUAGAUCUAAAAUGAAAAGUGGAGUUUAGCCAAAAUAAGUUAUUGUAAAAUCUAGUAUACCUGGUGGCGUAGAAUUCUCGGAUCCAUGUUGUCUCGGACGCGUUUUGUUGUGUAGAUACAUACAUACGUAUCUAGACAAGUUAUUUGGAUCGAAGGGAAUAUUAGAUUUCUCAUUAUAUUAGCUACUUUACAUAUAUUGAGCCGGUGUCUUUCUAUGUGUCUUAAGGGCAACUCUAGCAGGGCGACCCAAAUUCAGUCUGUUUGGGUCGCGGACCGAACAGAUCUGUGCAGUUGUUCGGCACCCGUCCGUGACCGGACAGAUCUGUACCAAUUGUGUGGCACCCGUCCGUUUGGAUCUGCCAGUGCCCCCCAACGCAGCCACCCAUUUGGUCCCGGUUUAUUAGUCAUAGGCAUGCGGGCUAGGGGAGGAAAAAUGAGCAAAGGGAGGACAAACGCAAGACAAAGAUGCUGCCGACCCAACCCAAACCUGGAGCAAAUUUGGGUUGGAAAUGGGUCGUGACGGACCGAAAAGCGGACGGUGGCCGAAAUGGGUCGCCCCACUGGAGGGCGCGUUUUGCCCGUUUUGGUCCGAACGGAUUGGUCCACCGCAAAUGGGUCGCGUGGCUUGAGUUGCCCUAAGGACCUCGUUUCAGCUCCUGUGUAAAGCAGAAUUGUCAUUUCUUUCUCGUUUAUCAAGUGUGCUUUAUUUACAUACAUGAGGGAUGAUAUAUACUGUAGUAUGUUCAUCUCCUUACGAUAUUGUCGUUGGAAGAUCUCAUAUGCUUUUUGUGAUGGGAUAUGGAAUGCAUUGGAUCUGUGCGCAAUUUUCUUCACCGGUUAACAAAAUAUGUCAAAGGAAAAUCGUGUUUCCAUACUGUUUUUAGGACAUGGAAAUUAAUAUAUAGGAGUUAGUGGAUACUUCUUGUUCACCAACAUUUUCCUUUCUUUGGGAUUCUAAGGUAAAGUAAAGAUUUUCAAAGUGCUCAACAGUCAUAAAUGUGGUUUUGGUGCUUAUAGAAAAGGCCUUACAUUUAUGUUAUAGUGGCCUCCUCGGAUUUGUUUCAUUGGACACAAUUUUGAAGUAGAAAUAUAAGCAUUGUGCUAUAUUCGCAAUGCAUUAUGCGAUUGCAUACUUAGUUUGCUUGAAUUUAUGCAGUUGAGUAAAAAAGGACUUCAGACUGCUUAGAUUAUUGUUAUUUCUUUUCAUCCCCAGAUAUUCUUUUGCUGAAUUUCUGUUCCAAAACAUAUUUUUUCUUAAGCAUCACACUUAUAGCAGAUAAAUUUACAUUGCAAAUGAAUAUAUGCCUUGAAUUGCUAACAAUGUUGGCAUUAUGGCAAUAAGAUGGACCGGAAACACCUUUUGAGAUGCUUUUAGUUUAUGAGCACCCAAGCAGGUGCAAAAGGUUCUUCUUGCCAUGCAUGUGAGAAAGUCCCUUGAUUUCAAAGCAACACAUUGGCGUACUUUUAUUCAGUUUUUUUUUUUGGCAGCCGGAGAGAAUUUAGAAGCUUGGCAUGCCAUUCCGUUGCAUUUGGUGAGACCGAAGAGGAUUUCUUCCCAUAGUUCCCUGGGCCGGUGCAUUCAUAAGAGAACAGUUGAGAGAGGUUGGAAGAGAGAUGCAUGAUUAACCAAAUGAAUAUAUUGGGACACAUGUCUUAAUCACGUGUGUGGAGAAUAUAGUGGUGAUUAAUUUUAUACCAGUAAUAUGUGAAGAUAUUGAGGUUCUAAAUUAUGUUUGGCAAAUGUGGCAAAUGUUACUCCUUCCGUUUCAUAAUUCUUGUCGAAAUAUUACGUGUAUCUAGACGUUUUUUAGAAAUAGAUACAUUCAUGUUUGAGCAAAUUUGAGACAAGAAUUAUAAAACGAGGGGAGUACCAUCUGUCUAUUGAAGAUGACGUCAUUGUCCAAGAAGAGCACUGCUAUAUGUACGACAAAUUCACGUACGAUUCUCGUCCGACGCAAGGCAUGAACCAUCCAUCAAAUGAUCUUGUGGUUGAUAUCACAUCGUACGACCGUCGGACACACUGGUUCGUCCGGAGCACUUCCGGUGCGAGAACACCGUGGGAGUUGAAUGGUUGAUACAAUGAUGACUGUUUAGUAUUAUUAUACUGUGAUAGGUCAUUUCAACCGAAUAAAAUUGUCAUGCCGCCAGUACAUUAAUCAUGUAUUGUUUGGGGUAGAAAAAUAGGAUUUCUAUUUUUAGAAUUCCUCCUAAUGAUUUUCCUAGCUUAGGAAAUACGUGGGUGCAAUUCCACUGGGAUUAUCUCAUUUUUUAUAAAUAUAGUUAUCAAAACCCCUGAAAUGAUACUAUUGGGUGAAUAAAAAUGCCUUUACUGUUUCGAUUUUAUUUGAGUGGUAUACCUAGGAAUAGUUUCUCUUUGAGAAAUUAGUUCAGAAUUUAUUGGAGUAUAUGCCUAAUUAUACUCAGAAUUAGUUCUAUGGAUCAUACGCUGCAAGAUAUGUUUUACUUAUCAAAAUGAAUGUGAAUUUAAGAUCAAGAUUAUAAGUUCUAGUUUACUUGUGGUGGUUUAUAGAGAAAAUAUCAUAUCUAUACAAUUAAGAGAUUAUAAGUUGUUACAUUGCAUAAUUUACUUGUGGUGGUUUAUGGAGAAAAUAUUAUAUCCAUAUUGUUCGAUCAGCUUCUUUUCUUCUUAGAGCUACCGUACUUCAUAUUUUCCAUCUAAUUUGUUAGUAAAUAUGACUUACUCAUCUGCCCUUUUGCAAUCCGCCGUUUUCUAAUUUAGAAUUGCAGUAUUGGUGUCUACAAAUGGAGGUAAACAUAUCAUUUUGAAUCUUUUUACAUGUAUACGUACAUUUAAUCUCCGGUUGUUUACCUCCAUUUGUAGACACCAAUACUGCAAUUCUAAAUUCCUCCAUAUUAUAUGCAAUUUAGAAAUAACUGGAGUAAUUACUUUUCUGCUAACCAAAUUCCUGUUAGAAUUCUUGGGUGCCGUACGUAAUAACAGUCACCAGCACGUGAGGCCAAACCCAACGCGUCAGCGACUGUUACCGCACCGGUCGUGCAUCACCGAAGCAGCGUUCCGAACUUCUGACCUUUUCUUUCUUUGGUUUAUGAUCAAACCAGUUCUUUCUGCUUUCAUACCUCCUGACUUUUUCUUUCUUUUUAAGAUCAAACCAUUCUUCCUUCUUCCGUAACUAACAAUAACGAUGGCACGUUAUUGAAAUACGACAUUGACUUUUUUUUCUAGAAUACACCGAACCGGAUGUAUCACCAUUAAAGAAAAAGACUUCGGAGCAGUUUAGUACAACCCGAAACGAAUCGGGCAAAUCUCACGUGAAUUACCCCACACCGGUCCACUCUACCAUUACACUCUCACUACAAGGGAAGAAGCUAAAUGACUCCAUCAACAAACCCGCAAUCUUCAAUGCAUUUCCUUCAAUAUGGAUUGGCCGCAUGAUCUUGUCAACUGAAGGUGUCUCAUCAUCGAGCACCACGGCGUUCCUAUACUUUCAAAUCGGAGUAAAAUGCACACGCAGUCCCUUAACUUGAGGAGAAUGUGCAAGUACGUCCUUGAACUCACGUUUUGAGCGAAAUGAGGAACUAAAAUAUAUUAAGUGUUUUAUACAUCUAUACGCGCGCGAAGGGGUAACUUGUAAUCCGGACCGUCAAUUAACCAACGGCUGAGAUCUGACUGUGUUUUAUCUCUCUGGCAGCCGGGGCCCGCAUGUCAGGGUCUUCUCCCACCUCUAAGCACAUCUGCUCUGCCUCCCUCUUCUCCCCUUCUCCCCAAGCGGCCAAGCCUCCCCCUUCUCUGUUCUGCUCCGGCAGGAAGUGCCCCGCGCCCGCAAGCUCACUCCCAAGCACCUCCGCCCCGUGGAGCGCCCGCGACGCGCGCCUCCGCUACGGCCGCUCGCCUCCUGGUGCUCCCUGUUGGCGAAGCGCUGUCGGUCGUGGGGUGUCCCCGCGGCGAGCGCGUAGGCGCGGCCUUGCUGGUCGUAGAUCGCGGGCGUCUCCAUGAGGUGGAUGAGCUGGGCCAGCUCGGCGCGGAGCGAGCCGAGCAUCUUCUCGAAGCCGUGCAGCAUGAGGUCGUCCUCCACCGCGUUCUGCGCCUCCACGAGCCUGUAGCGCCCCGACUAGGUCGCCCUUGUCCGCCAUGGCCAUCGCCUCCCUGAUGGCGUCGGCAUACCGGCGCCGGGCGAGUUCGUCCUCCACCCAGCCCGAAUCUCCUCGGGUCGCUGCUUUAGGAGCGAGGAGUUGCAGGCAGAUCUCAAACAACCCCAAUCGGCCCGACGGCGAGGAUGGUGGCAGGCGGCGGCGGCGCGGGAAGGGACCGGCGCGGGCGCGAGGAUGGCGGCGGGCGGCGGCGGCGAGCGGCCAGGGGCGCGGGCUGGUCGAUGCGAAGGCCUGCCAUGGCUGCUGUGAGCCUUGUGUGGUUUGAGGAGGAGGACGACCCUGACAGGUGGGCCCCGCCUGUCAGAGGGAGAGAGGGAAGAGAGAACACAGGCAGAUCUCAGCCGCUGGUUAAUUGACAGUCCGGAUUAGAAAGUUACCCUCUCCGCCACUGUCAACAGAUGAGGAUUCCUGAGUCCUGACCGCCAUAACUUGGGGAGCAAGGUCUCUUUGCCUGCGGCCAUGCAACCAUGGAUCCGUCCAGAAGUUAGCACUCUCACCAUUACCCAAGACCACCUUUGUUGCUGCCUCAAAGAGCUCCCUGGAUUCUUUCGAGACCUGAAGCCCCAAGUCAUGCCAUGGCCUAUCCGAAUCAGUCCACUGAAGCCAACACAAACGAGCUCUUAGGGCCGUGUUGAGCAGUCUUAAAUUUGGGAUCCCCAAGCCACCAAGUCUUUUCGGCAAGCAAACCGAAUUCCACGCCACUAAGACAAUGUCCAACCUUCACAUCUUUCUUGCCCUUCCAGAGAAAACCACGGCAGAUUUUCUCAAUGGCAUCCACCGUCUUAACCGGCAAGUCGAGUGAUAUCAUGCCGUAGACCGGGAGGGCACACAAGGUCGAUUUGAUCAAUGUAAGUCGCCCGCCCGAAGAGAGAAGCGGCGCUCGCCAGCCCUGAAGCUUAUUCUCCACUUUAUCCACCACUGACUGUAGUUGCGCCGCUGAUGCUUUACGAAGGCCCAGAGGGAGGCCCAGGUAAACACAGGCAGAGCCCAUCACCGCACACUGGAGUUCAUCCGCCACCACACAGCAUGGAAGUCGUCUCUUUUCCUUGCUCGGGCAGGCUCAUGGAAGUCGUGUCUAAUGGACUGCUUGGGACUAGCUAGGUUUGGAUGUCUGAGAGCUCUUAAUACAGAUCAAAGAUCUGAUAAUACAAAACUGCUCUUUGAAAUAGCAAUGCUAGGGCCUAAUUAAUUUGCAAAGCUCUGACUAGGUUAACAAACCCAUUAAAACCUGAUCGAUCGGCACGGCAUAGCCUAAAGCAGCCAGUAACACGUACAGCACAAACUACACAAUCAUCAUGGAGUUCUUUGGUCAACCCCUCGGUUAAUCUAGCUUCUAUUUGUCUUUGGCUUGUAUGAAAAAAAAAUCUACAUUUUCGACUUAUAGAAAUCACAUGCCACAUUGGGAACUCCCGAGCUUAAAUUGUUCAGAAAACUAAGUUAUGAGAGCAAAAAAUCACUGAAAUAGCUAGUAGCCGGUAUCAUGUUUUGUGUUCAUGACUUCACAUGCACAUUUAAAAGUUUGUACAAAAGCUAGUUUGUACCUCCAAUGUAGAAGCUCAUGUAGGGCAUGACUUUUUCGAAGAGCAUCUUUCUGUGUAUCUUGCUGCUUCGGCCUGAAUUGAGCUCAAUUUUGAACAACCCAGCCUUUGUACUCAGGAAGAUGGCACCAACACCUUCUGCAAAACCAACCACACCGAGGCUUUCAGCAGGGCACGAGAGGGGAGCAACGGUUCGAGCUCAAUCAGCCUGCAGGGCACCCAGUUCUCCACCGCUCCAUUGGGACCAGGCUCCAUUGACAACAGGUGGAGCUUAUUAGAGUACGUUCCACAGGCCCGCGAACCGCAGCAUGCCGUCCUCCGCCCCCACAAGGACGUAUGCCGAGUCGAACGGCUUAAUGAUCACCGAUAGCUUAUGUUCAUCCAUGUUGUACUCCACGAUUCUGGUGAUGCACUUACAGGGGAAGUACACCAUACUUCCAAGAACAGCACUGUGCCCCGCCUCCAUAAUGGCAUUCGGUUGGUUCAGAAAGAUCACCUUGCUCCACUCACCAGUCUCUGAUGAGUAGACUGAGGCGAAUGUCCCCCGUUGCUCGUCAGAUCCCACGAAGGCCACGAGGAAAGGGCCCCCACGGCAGUCGAGGUGGUCGUAGCGGUCCUUGGCGCAGAGCAGCGCUGCAUUCCAGCUGGUUUUCUCGUCGUCCGAAUCGUCGCCGUCCUGCGGUUUCCACGUCACGUCCGAGUACCGAGGGUCGGCGUGAAUCAUCCAGCAGUCGUCGGUGAUGGGGUCGCAGACGACCAAGUCCUCCUCGGAUUUCGGGGUGUAGAAGAGGACGCGGCCGUGGCGGGAGUCGAGGACGUACCAGUGGCGGCGGUCGCGGCAUGCCGGCGGGCGGAAGGGCGCGGCGGUGGGGAGUGGGGACGAAGCGGGAGACGCCGGAGCGCGUCCCGUAGGGUCUGUUGUGGAGGAAGCCCAGCAUGGGCGGCGUCGGCCCGUGCAAGACGCGGUAGUCGCGGACGAAGGAGGCGUCGGAGAGGAGGAUGGCGCGCCAGCCCUUGCAGACGGCGGCGGCGCGGACGAGGCUCGCGGGCUCGUCCGGAGGGACGCGCAGGAAGAUCUCGCGCAUGGCGUCGUCCACAAGCGCCGGCGGUGGGCGGCGGCCUCGCUGCGUUGGGGGCGGCAGGCUCAUGGCUAGGGCGUAGGGGAACUGUGCCGGCGAUUGUGGGUCGCGCGAUUUUAUUUUUGUCCAGCAGGAAUUUGGGGCGCGUAUCAGCGCUUCCAUCAGUGGAAGUCGAAUGGAUUCGUUCAGAUCGAGAUUUUUCUCUUUUAUUGUUGAUUGACAGCGAGAUACGAGGAGUUUCAAUGUUUGGACAAAUUUGAGUUAAUAAUUUAGAAUCAAAAGGAACGAGUAGUACUUUACUCCACAUUUUAUUUUCAGUUAUCUCUCCUUCACGUAGGAUCUUUGAGUUCUGUCCGAUCGAGGGAGGCGCUUCAUUGUUAGCUCUUCAGGCUACGUAUCACCCCGUUCAGUCUUGGUUUGAUCCUCCCAAUUUCUUACUACCUGUAAUGGCUAAGGAUGUAAGCGUUUUCAAAGAGUAAUAAAGCAACUGACUUUUGUUCAAAGGAUGUAGAGUAUAUGAUUUUCGUGAAUCGUUCCAACUUCCAAAUCCUAUUUAUAUCCAUCUCUGGCUCUCUGCCCUGCGCCCUUGCCCAGCUGACUGCCGUCUCCCUCUGCCGUUCUAAUCAGAUCAAACCCAACGAAGUUUGCCGGUUCUAAUCAGCAUAUCAGAUCGAAAUCAAAUUCUCCCAAGAAAAAGUGGCAAAGUAAUCACAGGAUUACCGGUUAACAUGUGAUUUCUUAACCUAACUAUUGAGGAUUACCGCCUUGAGAAAAGAAGUAUUUAUUUGGUUCCGAAGAAAGCCAUCCAUGCUAAUAGCUUUACUGAUUUUGCCUACUGCUUAUGUAGAAUUAAAAUAGCUGCUGGGCCUUUUCACCGAUUUCGCCUCGAGGAGUUAAAAACUCCAGGACCGGCGCUGCAUAUAGGGUGUAUUUAUCUGAUGGUUCAAAUAUCCUCCUACAGUGUAAAGUCAAUCUGUAAAAUUUGUUAUGAAUUAAGGUUGCCAACAUAUUCAAUUAUUGAAGCUCAAAAAAAACAUAUUCAAUAUUGAAGCUCAAAAAAAAAAAUUCAAUUAUUGAUCAUGAGAAGAAAACAAUAUUUAUCAUUAGAAAAAUAUGGGAGCCUAAAUUAAGGUAAGGUAAUCUACCCCAAAUAAUAAAGGGAGGAACGCUUCCUUCGUCGUCGUCCGUCCGUGAAUUUUGCAAUUUGCCCCUUCAAGUUUUUGUUAAUUCAACCCGCCGUCCAAAUAAAGGACGGAACUGGGUUUGUUUUACAAGGUUUCGGCUAAACUGCAAUUUUGCGUCUCCUUCCACGGAUCUCUCCCCGACUCAUCCCUGAGUCCCCGACCCGCAUCUCGCCCUGCCUCCUGUUGGGUUGGGACCCAAGGCGUUGUCCCGCCGUGCCACGGAUCUGGGUUUUUUUGCAAGUUUGCCGCCCUCCCCGCGCUCUCUGUCCAUCUGCCGGCCCAAUAGCUGCGGCGGCGCUCUAGUUGCCACGAUGCUACUCCACCUUCUACGGCCGGGCGCUCGCCUCCGCCCCGACGCCUCGAGCCGCCCGUCCCCUCAUCCACACCGACCUCCUGCGCUUCACCGCCGCCGUUCACCCACCGGCCACCCGAAUCUAGAGCGCCACCCAUGGCCUCCUCAACCCCCGUCUCGCCUGCCGCUGCCGCCUUCUUCGGCAACCGCCGCUGCCUCCUCCUUCCCUGUUCCCUGCGUCGCCUCCCUCACAGCUGCUUGUGCCCGCGCUCAAGCUCCCGCAUCCGCUUCGCCGCCUGCCAUGCCAAUACCCUCCUCUCAUCACCCGGGGCCAGGUGCCGUCCGCUGCCGCGGCGUGCUCGUCCACCUCCUCCGCUAGCGGGUUCUCUGUAUGGCUGCUCACGCACGGGCUGCCGCUGGGCAAGGGGGCCAUCCUGAAGCGCCCAGUGCCUAGCACCGGUGGGGGCAAGGACCGGCCUCUGCACCCUUUGGACAAGGUGGCCAUCCUGCAACGCCCCGUGCCUAGCUCCGGUGGGGGAGUAAGGACCGGCCUUUGCACCCUUUGAAGAAAUCAACGAUAAGUCGGUAAUACAGUCACUGACUCAGAAUUCUCACGUUCAGGAAUAUGAAAAUUAUGGAUUCCAUGACAAAAGCAAUUGUUCCGUUAAAUUCGAUUGAAUGUCAAAUUAUCUUAUUGUCAUUUCAAUGAACGUGAAUUUUUGUGUGCAUAUGUUUAAGAGGCCGUGGCAACGCAUGGGCACUGUACUAGUUUCAUACCUAUAUGUCUUAAUUUUCGAUGCAGAGGCCGGGGUUAUUCCCUCCAUUUAAAAAAAAAAGUCAAAAAUGUCUUAAUUUUCAUUUUUCAUGGUACGAUAAUCAUAAUUUCAUUACUAUUUACCCCUUGUAGCUGUUUGAAACCCACGGGAGAAGAAAUAAAAAACCAUGCAAGAUUUUGAUGAUGAAUGUAGAGGGUAAUAAAGUGCAGGCAAGCAUAUAAAAUAUUCCAUAUAUGAGUGCAGGUUUAAAGAGACAGGUAGCUAGCUUUCGCUUCAGGUAUAUUUUCAUUUGCUGGUGAUAUUUCAGAUUUGAUUAUUUUGUUUCAAAUUUUGCUAGCUGAGAUUGUAUACUGCAAUAACAGACCUUGCGCUCUGUAUGCAGUUCCUGAUUCUUUCAAGGAUUUUUUUUUGACAAACAACCGACCGGAGUAUAUAUUUUUACGCUGGAAAAAUCAACAAUACAGGCAGAGAUAAAUAUCUACUUGUUACUUUUCUGCGAACCAAAUUCCCUUUAGAAUUCUUGGGUGCCGUAAGGCGGUUGACGAGGGAAUGAUCCUUCGAGUCCUCGACCUUCAUAUACCCGAUACAGCACAACAGGGGGUCCACUCGAAGGCCCAUCAAGUAUAUGCAGGUAGAGUCCCUCAAAGUGCGGCUCAAGCCAAGGAACAUAAUCUUAUUAUACCGGAAUGAACUGAUCUGAUUGUAACAUUUCCGAUUAUCACACCCGAGACCUAGCCGCCAAUAUAUAAGGCUAAGAGGGGGAUCAGGAAUGGCGAUCCUAUAUACACACGCCAGAUUCAUCUGUGCUCCAUAGCUUCAUAACUUCCAUGUAAUCUCAAUCAAUACAAUACACCAAAAGCAGGACGUAGGGGUAUUACCUUCCGAGGACCCUGAACCUGGGUAAACCUUGCGACUCCCCUAGUCUUUGUUAGUCGACGAAAUUGUUGGUGCAUCCCGUGCUCUUCCUCAGUCAAAAACCCUCAAGUUAGGGUAUUGCCGAGGUAGCCCCUCGUCAUUGGCUCCGACCGAGAGGAAAAAGUGCAUCAGAUCUACGAUCUUCUCAACCAUGCCGCUCUCAAUCCGCAAGAGGAGCCGAUCCGCUUCGGAUCCUUGAGUUUCUCAGCUCACCCGCCAACAUUGUGCUCGGCCUUCCGCAACUUUUGCGGUCUUCUGGAGCUGUCAUUCAGAGGUUUUGACCUCCGAGUCAGCCGCGAAGGAAUCAUCAGCUUCACAGAUCUGUCACCGACAGGACAGAUCUGCGAGUCUCUGGUGGCGUCACCAACUGAUCCUUCACCCCCGAUGUGCUCGUUGGGUGAAACAGGGCAAAUUUUGGCCAAAUUUUUUUGCACCGAGUGCGAUUCGCACCACUCGGUGUUCGCUGAAGAUUCCACUCCUUACAACGUCAAUACCUGUUCGAGUGUAGCAAUCAAUCCCGCUGAUGUAACUAUGAUCCCUUGCAUGACCUUGGCACAGGUCUUCGCAGUGGAAGUAGGCGAGAGCAGUGGAGAUGGACAACGAGCCGGCAGAACCAUCUUCGCUGAGGCACGCGCAAGAGACGUGACCAAUGAUCGUCCAACGAUCAUUCUCACGCCGGAAGAAGAAGCUCGGGUCGAGGCCGCUCUUAACGGCACCAACCCUUUGCCAGCAGACGCCACGUGCAAUGAGAUGAUGGCAUACCACCAUGCGCUAGACACUACGCAUGCUCGACUGCGAGAGGAGCAGGCGGAGCUCCAACGGCGGAGGGAGGUCGCCGACGC
rnacentral:lncRNA from 1 species